rnacentral:lncRNA from 1 species
AGAACUGAAAGUAAAAUUAAAAAAAGAAAAAGAAGAUAAUUUUUAUGCCAAAGUAACAUAAAAACAACUACCCAGUGUCAGGUGUUUUGUUACAGCAGCCUGAGUGAACUAAGAGAGUGCCCUUUCCUGUAUAAGGGGUGGCUGCAGGGCCCUCCAGGUCAUGGGAAACUUGUUAAUUGUUUAUUUAAUUAAAUUUUUUAGUCUUCAUUUAAACAUCAUGUAGUGCGGAUGCACAGACACACACUCACACACUUAAUUACAAUUGUGAGACAAAUGAAAUAAUAAAGGAAAGUUCUUAGCAAACUCUUCGUGCAUUAUUAGUGCUCAAUAAAUGCUAAAUACUAUGAUUAAUAAUACAUUUUUGUUAUUAACUUGAAAGUCAUUGUGUUGUGGGAAGAAUGGAGUCCUAAUUUAUAAUUUUUUCCCUCCACUUAAAAAAAAUAAUUUAUUGAGCAGACAAGAAUAAGUAAAGACAUCUCAGAAUCAAGCAAAUAUCCCAGCAUGUUCUCGGAAAAAUUAAAACUGCAGUUAAGGGUGCACUUCUAUUUGAUUUAAAAGAAAAUAUAUGUUAAUUUAAUACUUGGUAACUUUGCAAGGUUUAGACUAAACAUUGAACACAAAAAUAGCUUCUGAGAUUCUUAGUCAAAGACAGCUUUGUUGUAAUAGCCUUGUUGAAAUCGGAGUUUAAAACCCACUGCUUUUAGGUCCAGUGGGCAAAACAGCCACAUGUGGAUGUGCAGUCCUUACUGGCAGACACAGGGGAGCUGCUGGGCUGGAAGGUCAUGAAACUGCUUUUAGGUGGACCUGGGAUGCUACUCACCACAAUUCCGGUGGGGUCACUCCUUAAUAACAAGCGGGACCCAAGGAAAUAACCCUGCCAGGUAAAAGAUUGUCUGCCUUUACUUUGUAGGUAAAAAUCCAGAGAGCUCUUUAUCCUCUGGGGAAUGUUCUAGUCUUUCUCCCUCAGGAUACUUGUGUGUGGCAGAGGAUACUGUUCCCACUAAGUGUUUCCACCUGUACAUCCCAGAGCUAAACCCCAUCCUGUUUCAGUUACAGGCUCAAACAAUAAACAUAAACACUUUCUACAUCAGGCUAAUUUAUGGGGUCUGUUUUCCUGGCUUUCCCCAAGAAAUUCCACUCCAAACACAUUGAGAAUGGGAAGAAAAAAAAUCUGUUCUUACAGUCACCAUAAAAAGUAUGCUAUUGAUUUAAGAAAUUUGUGUUUUCUAAAACUAGUGAUUCACGUUUGUGUGUAUAUCACUCUGCCAUCCACAUUUACAAGAACAGUCGGAAUGUUCGUUAGGAAGGACUACACUGGCUUCUUACAGCCAACUGCAGCUUCUUUGUGUGAGUGUUGCUUCUUGAGCUUUAUUAAGUUUUUGUGCCAGUGUACAAAUGGCACAUGUGAGUCUCCACGAAACUAGUUCAUUUUCCAAUUCAUAGCUAGUGUUGUUCCAAUACUGACGCUUAUAAUAAAAGUGUUAAGUAAAUCACCAUUAACCAUUGCCUUAAACAACUGAAUUGAGAAAAGUUUCAUUAAUUUCUCAUUAUUCUUCUUUUACUGUGCACAUGAGCAUGUGAUUUUAAGCUUUCAUAAUAUGCGUGUAUUGUUUAGUAUUACAGACAUUCACAGCUGAAAAGCAACUCAGAGGUUACUUAGUGAGACCUAAUUGUAUUAACUUUACAUAUGAAGAAAUGGAAUCAAGAUGAAAACAUCUUCAAUGGUUUACCCAAGAUUGCAUUGUAUCUCAUGUCAUAAAUUAAUCCAAUCUUUAAAACCCAUCAUUUCUUUUACCCAUCCAUUCAUUUACUAGGUAAGUAUUUGUUGUGCAUCUCCUGUGUGCUAAGCAUCACGCUCUACCGUGGGAAUACAACGAUUAAGACCCAGUCCCCUGCCCACGGAGAGCCCUGUGCGUUUAUGGAUAAGACAGGCAAGAUGGCAGGCAAUGACAGAGUCUUGAGAUAAAGUCACAUGGCUACACCUGGCUGUUCUCUAGACGCCUCAGAAAGAGGAAAUGAUUCAGGCAUUGAGCGUUCUGGGAAGGACUCAUCUGAUUUUUAAUACUUCAUUAUUAAAAUGUUAAGCAACAGAAACAUGCUUUGACUUAGGGAGAUCCAAAAAACCUACAUUUGAUUUCAAAUUCUGCUACAUGCUUGCUCUAUGACCUUAAACAAAUGACUUAGCCUUUCGGAGUUUCCUUAUCUUUAAAUGGGGAUAAUAAUAUGAACCCCAGGAUAUUUGACAAAAUUAUAUAGUAAAUACAGAAUUCUAAGUACUGAAUAAGUAAUUGUUGCUAUUCCAUACACUUAUUUAAAACUUAGCCUCUUGGGAAAAGCAUAUGGUAAAACUCAGGCUUCUUCUACACCCGUGUCUUUCAGGAUGGGGGAGAAAAUGGCAGAGGGGCUCAAACACAAGGCUUAGCCCCCACCUAUUCUGUGCUCUUUCCACCCAAACACAUGGAAUCAAGCUGCCACGGAAGCAGAAGCCUGGGGAGAACAGGAAACAAAAACGCAGAGAUACUGAGUUCACGAGUGACUGCAGUGUUAGAAGAGGUGUGGGGCUGAAUGGGAGUGUGGGGACAUGUUAGAAAAUCGCUCUCAGAGGAGUUACCACAAAGAAAAGCUUUCUUUCUGAUUUUUACAUCCCAUCACUCAAAUUACUGUAACCUACAAAAUUCAUGAAUAUGCACUAGUUCCCCAUUGCACUAGGUAUUUGGUGGGGCAUGAAUUCAGAUUCUGAGAGGUGAAUAAGUCCAACAACACCUUGACUUCUUAA